AGCCCAGUGGAGGUGCGCAGGUGCUGCUUUUCCGCCUAAUCCUCCCCUCUCCUUCCUUCCUCAUUACUAGCAUGUUUAUUUAGGAGGACGCUAGCAGUGGGUGCGAAAGUCAAGUGUAAUGGCCUGUGGAUGCAAAGGUGAUGUUUGCUUUGUGCCAGCUGGGAAGCUAGGUGAGCUGUAGGCUGUUGGACGUGCCUUGUGGUCAGUGAAUUCCCCACCUGAGCCUUGUCACAGGGCCGUGGGUUGCUGGGCUCUGCUGAAAUGCUGCUUGUAGAGUUCUGAGGGAAAUGUUCUGAGGCCAGGAGAAGAGUAAAUAACCUGCCAGCCUUGAAAACCUCAGCUGCACAUGCCCAGCUGAAUGUCAAUACAUCUGGAAGUGUAUAGAGUUCAGGAACUAGCUGCGUAACCAGUCACCUUGAAUACAGAGGCAGCACCACAGGAAUUCUCUUUCUGAAGAAAAACAAGACAACGGACCUCACGUUGCUGUUGGGACUUCAAAGAUCACGACGCAGCCAGACCCGGGCACCUUGCCAGCAUUAAUGGUUGCAGCCACCCAGCACCUCCACAAGCAGCACGGCCUGGCAUCCCUGGCGCCGGUGGGGACGCGGGGUGGUGACGGGAGCCAUGGCCUGCCUGCCACCCUCCUGUGAGCGCAUGGCAGGGCUCGCUGGAGCACGGCCGCCUUUCCGUAAAGCAGCACCUGGAGACGCCUGCUCUCAGCUGCGGUCCAGAUGCACCCGAGGUGCCUGAGCUCCAGUGCACUGGUGGCCCCCGCCUCUCCCCAGGAGCUGCUGCAGCAAGUGUCACAGCACUCACUGCUGUCCCCUGCCCUGACCCCCUGCUGCUGGGGCCAGCCAGCCCCCGCAGGGCAAGGGCCAGUGCGCUGCUUGCUCCUGGGGGCAUGCAGGUGGCUGCCGAGGAACAGCAAUGGGGUGCAAUGGUGUCUGGAAGGGCAGGGAGGGCCAGCCCCAGAUCCUCACCCCUCGUGUUUAUCUGCUGCACAUGGCUGUACGUAGGCAUGGACCUCAGUGCUGCUGGAUUUCAGAGCUGGUUAUCCAUCGGCACUUUGGGGCUGUUUGUACUGGUAAAUGUACAUGGCAGGGAAUAAGACCUACUAGUGAUUCCACACGGUAGAAACCCUUUGCCAUAAUAAAGGAUGAGGUGCGACUAGUAGUAUUCAAUUAGCUUCAUCUAGUUAUCAGUGCAGACAAGUAAUGGCUGGAGUGGCUUGAGCAGUUUUAGUUGUUUCCUUCUCCACUGUGCCUGUGAGAGGAGCAAGGCAGGGCAGACAGAUCCCAGCCCGGUGCCACGUGGCUCAGCCCCAUGAAACUAUGCAGCUGUGUCAAUCCAGAGCAGCUCAGAACUCAGCCGGCACUUCUCAAAUCGCAUUCAAGGCUUUUUCGGUAGCUUUAUGUAGUUAAUUAACUGUGUAACAGUUGUUUGAAUCAUUUCGUCUUACCCUUGUUGUUGUGUUUCUCUACUCUUUGAGAAGAUACUUUCGGCCAGUACCCAAAAUAUAUUUUUGAAAGAGGCUGAGUGGUGAAGGAAGGUGUCACAUUAGGAUCAGGUGAUUUAUACGCUGCUGAUUAAGUUUAAAUAAUUGAAAAGUACUGGUAUUCUAUGACUUUCUUCUUACCUACUUACUUGAGAUUAAUCAUUUGUUUUUCAGCCUACAGUUUUCCUUCUAGAUUUUGCUCCCAGAUUUUUCCUCCAGGGUUCUGCCACGUACUUUAGAUUUACUAGGGAUUACUCUUAAGCAUGGCAUGUCGAAAGAUUUGUGAGAAACCUGAGAAUAAGAUAAAUGUGAGAUUAUGAGAGACAGCAUCUUCACAGCAACUGUAUCUUUCAGACAGCAAUCAGACCCACUGAAAGGCAGAGAAACCUUAGGCCAAGUUUCAGCUCAGUCUCACGUAACUGAGCAAACCUCAGAGACUGAAAUUACUAAUAAUGAUAGUCAUCUGGAGUUUUCCUGAGAAAUAAUUUGGAGUGAUCUUUGUUGUACUUAUCUGAAUCUUCACACCUCCCUUCCGUGGUACUGUCUGGGUUACCUUCUCCUCACACUGGAAAACAGGCUCCAUGAAAAAAUGAGUCACCAAUAAGAGAUGGGAAAACAUUGACAUAUAUCAUCAGCUCUCCAAGCCUGCUCUGUCCCAAGUGCUGACGGAUUAAAAGCCUGAUGGCCGAGGGAAGGCUGGCGGGGCGUGCAGGUGAGGCACCGUGGGGGGUGAAGGAUGCGUCCACAGCAUGGCUGGGCUCGGGCGCUGCAGGCGAUGCCUCAAAGGGCACGGGCUGUGGGCAGAGAGCAGGCACAGGGCAAGGAGCACGAGCACCCCUGCUGUGAGCACAAAAAGUGCGCUGUAACCUGUGGGUAAACCCCUAGGGUGGGUGGUGCGAGUCCAAGAGGACUUAAAGCAAGCUGGAAUAUCUGGUCACUGCUCUCUGCCAAAGCUCUGCAUCCUCUUCUGAUUUGUGUAUGAGUUGAACAAUGAACAUUGUUUUACCCCCAGAUUAAUAGCUGCUCAUUGCCAGUGUUUUGCAGCUAGACAGUAGGAAUGACUACGUAUCCCUGAUAUUAUGA